rnacentral:rRNA from 1 species
UCCGUAGGGUGCGAUCGUUAAUCGGAAUUACUGGGCGUAAAGCGUGCGCAGGCGGUUAUGUAAGACAGAGGUGAAAUCCCCGGGCUCAACCUGGGAACUGCCUUUGUGACUGCAUGACUAGAGUACGGCAGAGGGGGAUGGAAUUCCGCGUGUAGCAGUGAAAUGCGUAGAUAUGCGGAGGAACACCGAUGGCGAAGGCAAUCCCCUGGGCCUGUACUGACGCUCAUGCACGAAAGCGUGGGGAGAAAACAGG